rnacentral:rRNA from 1 species
UACGAAGGGGGGCUAGCGUUGCUCGGAAUCACUGGGCGUAAAGCGCACGUAGGCGGCUUUUUAAGUCAGGGGUGAAAUCCUGGAGCUCAACUCCAGAAUUGCCUUUGAUACUGAGAAGCUUGAGUCCGGGAGAGGUGAGUGGAACUGCGAGUGUAGAGGUGAAAUUCGUAGAUAUUCGCAAGAACACCAGUGGCGAAGGCGGCUCACUGGCCCGAUACUGACGCUGAGGCACGAAAGCGUGGGGAGCAAACAGG